rnacentral:tRNA from 1 species
UGGGGUAUCGCCAAGCGGUAAGGCACCGGUUUUUGAUACCGGAGCAUUCCCUGGUUCGAAUCCAGGUACCCCAGCCA